UUUGCAGAAGUUAAGGAUCAUAAACAGGACCAAUCUCCCCAGUGCCUGUCUUCCUCUCCUAUUGUGUGAGAUCUCUGAUUUGAGUGGUCUGCUUGCUGACUACCUUUCUUCUCUCUUCACCUCUCUAGGUGGUGUAUCUGCAUCCACUGUUACAUUCCAGCCAGUUUACCACCCACCUCAUGUCCUUGGUGAUAUAAACAGUGACAUCCACUGUUUUCCAGAGAAAAGGGCUAAAGAAACACUUUUGCCAUAUAGCAUUGAAAAAGUGAGCCAGGAGGUGGAAUGGAAUUGCAACGUGCAAUGGAUACUGGCGAGCUCCACAAACUAGAAGACAGAUGCAGUGAAGAAUGGUUUCCUCUGUGAACACUGUGUCAAAGUUCUCAACAUCAUUUGGUCUAGCUUAUGAGGAUUCAUGGAGAUGAAAGAAAAGAAGGAAGAAAAGAUAGAGGGAGAGAGAAGGGGAGGGGGGAAAGAGAAUAAGGGGAGGAGGAUGAGAAGGAAGAGGAACGAUGAAGGAAAAAGAAGAGGGAGAAAGAAGAGGAGGACAAGAAAACCUUCCCUUUUACUUCACUCAACAGUUCUACCAGGCAUGUGACUACAGGCACUGGAUCUACAUAAUGGGUCUUGAUUAAAGCUUGAGGUGAAGUACCCUUCACAUGUAGCUGCUAUAGCUUUGGAUUCCCCUCUUCAGUCUCAGUUCCUUUUUCAGUUAGAAACUUGAGCAACUCAGAGGCCAUUAAUCAAUUUAGGA